AUAGGAUAGGAUAGGAUAGGAUAGGAUAGGAUAGGAUAGGAUGAAAAAAUAAUGGGAUGGGAUGAGAAAGAAUAGGAUGGGAUGGGAUAUGGGGUGGAAUUUCCAAGUGCUCCUCCAAGGAGCUCCAGACAGGGUUUCCUCAUCUAGUGCUGAUGUUUUGGGGCUCCAAGUGUGGAUGAUCCUCUGCUGUCUCAUGUCCAGCAGGAACACACCCCAGAGCAGGUUCUUCUUACUGGGAAGUGCAGAGGGGAGCACUAAGGCCCUGCUGGGCUCCAUGGGCUCUCCCCAUCCCCGGGAGCUGCCAGAAGGGGUAGGAGAAGGCACAGGAAUUGCAGCCAGGAAAGGCCCUUCUGCCCCUUUCUUCCAUCCUCAUCCUGAGUCUCCCACCCCUCUGGAGCUGCCGUGGGCCCCAUCCCAAUCCAGGGAACUCCUCCUUACGUGACUCAUCCCACCGGGAUCCCCCUCCUCAGCCGAGUGACGCAAAUCCUCCCACCCCAAUCCCGGAGCUGGAUUUAGAAUGGAUUCACUGGUGGAGCCAGGGAAGAUCCAACGCCUCCGGCCGCCAUCGUGAUCCCCACCAGGAAUGGGGUGGAGAUCCAUCCCUGGGAGUCUGGGAUGGGUGUCCUGCCCUCCUCCCACCUGGCAAGGAUAGCAAGACAGCAGAUGUGGGUCCUGAGGUGGGACAGUGGAGCUGGGAAGAGAAUUCCUGGGAUCCUGCAGCCUGGACCCCCUCCAGCAUCCCUGGAAUGGACUGAGAGGAAUCAGGAGCACCAGGAGCAUCAGGAUGUGAUGGGAGCAUGAGGAACCCUGGGAUGCACUGGGAGUACUGGGAUUCCUGGGAGAAACACUGGGGUGUGCUGGGAGCACUGGGAGCAGGGGGAGCACUAGGAUGCACUGAGCACAGGGAUGCUCCAGGAGUACUGGGAGCUCUGGGAAUACAGGGAGCACUGGGAUGAACUGGGAACAUUAGGAUCCUGGGAGCACCAGGAUGCACUGGGAACACUGGGAUGCACAAGUCGUGUAGGGAUCCCCGGGAGCACAAGGAUGCUCCAGGAGCACUGAGAACCUUGGGAAUAGAGGGAGCACCGGGAUGCACUGGGAGAACAGGGAUGCGCUGGGAGCAGAGGAACACUUGGAUGCACUGGGAUGCGCUGGGAGAAUGGGGACGCACCGGAAACAUCGGGAUCCUCGGGAGCACAGGGAUGUUCCAGGAGCACCGGGAGCCCUGGGAACGGAGGGAGCCCCGGGAACGGAGGGAGCCCCGGGAUGCAGUGGGAUGCGCCGCGAGCCCGGGAUAGGAACCUGCGGUCUUGGAGCUCCUGCUGGUGGCUGUCGGGGAGAACUACCAGGAUCGGCCGACGGGAGAGCCCCGGGAUACACGGGAGAGUCCUGGGAUACACGGGACAGCCCCGGGAUACACGGGAGAGUCCUGGGAUACACGGGAGAGCUCCGGGGCGUGGGACAUGGAGCAUCCCACCAUCCCGGGAAACACGGGCUGACGGAACCCCGGGAUGGGCCAAGGCUCUCCCUGUCCCAGCAGUCACCUGGGACGGUUCAGAGCCGCAUCCCGACUCACUUCCCGUGGGAAUCCCAGCAGCGGGAAGCACGCUCCACACAGAGUCGCCAACCACCCCGAAAGAGCCUGGGGCGACACCGGGAGAGGGGAAUUCUGGGAAAGCUUGAUGUUAACGCGUGAAGUAGGAUUUGGGGCUACGGUCCUGGAUCUGGGUGUGGGAGUGAGGAGGGAGCGGAAAAUCACAGCAAUUCCUUCAUUUUUCCUUUUGCUGACACAGGUAUUGAAAAUAAGAGGGAGAGAGGAGGAAUGGGAACAUCCAGGACCCUCAGGGCAGCUGCAGUUGCAUUUCCAGAGCGUUGUGUCCUUUCCCAUGGAUGCUCCGAUGGAUUGUUCCAUAUCCACUGUGUCCCCACCCCAGCAGUGUGCUGCCAAUGGGAGGACUCCCAGCUCUCCAGCCCCUCCGUCCACCUCGCUUGCCCUCCAGCCGGAGCUCCACAAGGAAAAAUCGAUCCCUGCCUUCCAAAAAAAGCAGCUGCCAGUAGCUUUUUUUAGCAACCCAUCCCAUUUGCCUCCUCCUCCCCUCCUGGCCCAGGGAGCCCAACCUGUGGCUAAAUUAGCUGUGUCUUCCCGAGGGAUAUGGGCUGGAAAGAGCAGGAAGAGAGGCUGGUUGUGCUGGAAUAUUCCACGGCAGCCACCCCAUCCAUCGCUCCUUGCCCAGGGAUUUGUCCCAGUCCUGGAGCACGGCUGGGAUCCAGCAAUCCCAGCCCCUAUUGGGACCACUUCCCAGAAGGAAAAGGGGAUGUGGAAAGAAGCAGGAGCUCUCGGGUGCCUUUUUCCUGCUCCUGGGGAAGCAGGAUACAACCCUGCAGAAAUCCUGCUCAUAUCCCGUGGAUUAUGGAGGUGCUGAGGCACGGGAGCAGAGCACAUGGAAUAUUUAGGUCACAAUAAAUGAGCUCCCUCAUUAGUGCCUCUGGAUCUGCUCCUAUGUGGGGCCGGGGCUGGAAAAUUGGCCUCUGCCUUCCCGGGAAGAGGAUUUGGAAACCCCUGAGUGGAGGGAAAGGCUGACUGUUUCAAGGAGAGCAAGGAGGUGGAAACAUUGGAAUUGUCAGGGAUGGAUGGACUCACAGGGAACAGUGGGAAGCAGAGCUCCAACAUCCUGAAAUCACCUUUAAUUUCAGAGAUUUUUAGGUUUUGCCCUUUGUAAAAGGUUUUCCUGUUUGUUACACACCCCCCCCCAAUCCCCCGCUUCAGGUGCUGCCCAUCCCAGGUAGUUCCCAUCCCAGGAAAUUCCCAUCCCAGAUGAUUCCCAUCAGGAUCAUAACUGGAGCAGGAAAUGGUGGGAUAUGCCCUGAUAAAAAGGGGGGUGAGGAAAGGGCAGGUUUUUUUGGGAAACCUCAGGGAGUGUCUUGCUGUGCUAGUGGGGAUGGAUCCUGCCUGGGAUUCUGGAGCUGCUGGAAGUGCAUUGGAAGGUGAGUUUAUUCCUCGAGUGUGUUUGGGACACUAAGGAUGGAGUAGGAUUUUCCUUCUACCUUCUUCCCCCAGGAUUUUUUUCCCCUGGCAGGGGUAGCAGGGGGAGGGAGGGGCUUUCCCCCUCUAUUCUCCCUGGAAUGCUGUAUCCUCAGCAUGAGGAGGAUGUGGAACUGCUGGAGCAAGUCCAGAGCAGGACAUGGAGGUUCUCAGAGGCCAGGGGUGUCCAGUGUGGAGAAGGGAAGGCUCCAGGGAAACUUCAGAGCCCCUUCCAGGGCCUAAAAAGCAGCUCCAAGAGAGUUUGAGAAGGAGUGGAAAAGCACCUGAAGGGCCAGGAUAAAGGGAAUGGCUUCCCACUGCCAGAGGGUGAGUUAAAUGGGAUAUUGGGAAGGCAUUCCUCCCUGUGAGGUGGUGAGGCCCUGGAAUGGAUUUCCAAGGGAAGCUGUGGCUGCCUUAUCCCUGGAAGUGUCCAAGGUCAGGUUGGAGCGACCGGGGAGAGCGGAAGGUGUUGGAGUUGGAAUUGGAUGGGCUUUGAGGUCCCUUCCCACCCAAACUAUUCCAAGAUUCCCUGGCUCUGGGAGGAUUUUGGGUGCUCGUGGCCAUGAAGACGCACCCCUGGGAUCCCAGUGGGCCUCUGGCAAAGGAAAAAAGCGGGAUGGCAGAGCCAGGGAUGUUCCCCCACAGCUGGGAGAUUACAGCAGGGAGGAGCAGUGGGAAUUUCUGGCUGCUCCGGAGUGCAACUGGCAGCGGGAGAACUCCUGAGGAUGAGUCAGUGUCCCUAAAAUCCAGGUAGGAAACAUUUCAAGGAGAGACUCUGUGGCUGUGUCCGUGCUGUGAAUCCCAGAGCUGGUGGAAUCUCUGCCGCAGGAAUCCUGGAAUGGGUUGGGAUGGAAGGGAUUUGAAAUAUCAUCUCAUUCCAUUCCAGAAAAGAAUUCCUUGGCUUCCAGCAGCUGCAGAGGGAAGCACAGGUGGCAGUGACUGAUCCCAACAACUGGUUGUACUGGCAGAAAAAGGAUUCUUUCCCAGCUGCCUCCAGAGGCAGGAGCAGGAUCCUGAAGAAGCAGAGAAAGGGAAGGAUUUGACCUAAUGGAAUUAUCCAAGUGGCUCCAGCUGCUGCUCUCCGAUUGCAUCCGGCUGAUGUCUGGAGAUGUGGUCCACAGGGAACAACAACCUCCAUCCUCUCUGUGGAGCCUGCAUCCAACAGCAACAUUCCAGGCUUACUCGGGAGCCCGGGAGGGGCAGAAGGCUCCAAACUCUGGCACUGCUUCCCUGGAGCACCGACAGGAAAGAGAAGUUUGUCUGACUGUUUUAUCCACUCCGGUUUCCUGACAGAGAGGCCACCUGGAGCUGCCAGGCAGGAAGAUUCCCUGAAUUUUGCUGGGCACAGUGAGAAAUCCCAGUGAAUUGUUAUUUAACGUUCCUUUUCCAUGGCGAUGGCUCUUUCCAGGGGAGAAAUUUCUGGGCUGAGGAGUCACAGCUUGGAUAAGGCUGGAUAAUGUCCUUGGGAAGGCGGGAUUGAUUGGAGCCUUGGCUUCCAGAGUUAAAUCUGGCAUAAAUUCAGCAAAGCAGCUGGAAAGAGGAGUUUGUGCUUGGAAUCCUGAGGAGAGAGGGCUAUGCUGAAUUCCCAAGCGCAGCCUGGGGGAGAAACCCUUUCCAGGCUUUUUUUUUUUUUUGUGGAGUCCAAGAAAUCUGUGUGUGUUUACUAUAUGCCAAAAGCAUGGGAACCUUGGGAAAAGGGAGGGAUCCCGCAAGGAAAGAGGCUUUGGGGCUGGAAAAGGGGUCUCAGCUGGUUCCUGAGUGGAAGCUGUGGUUGCUCCAUCCCUGGAAGUGCCCCAGGACAGGUUGGGUGGAGCUUGGAGCAACCUGCGAUAGCGGCAGGUGUCCCUGGAUGGGAUUUAAGCCCUUUCCAAGCCAACCUACUCCAGGAUUUUUUGCCUGCUCUCCUCGUGUUCCUGGCAGAGGUUUGCCAAUCCCAUGAGGAAGGAGGCCCUGCCUUUGGGAGAUCUCAACCCCUGGUGUGCCAAUCCAAGCUGGAAUUCGGGUUUUUGGCUUGUCUUGGAUCAUCUGUCCCCAGGUUUGGCUUAGAUUGGGAAGUCUCCCCCCCAAGAUUAACUGGUUUUUAGGGAUUCAGGUUUGGAACUGGGACAGGAGUGAAUUCUGGAUUGCUAGAAAGGCAGGAAUGGGGAGCAAGGAUUGAGUGGGAACUGGAUUGGCAUCAAACACCCUUCCUGGAGUGCCCUGAGACUGGGAACAUGUGGAAUACGGGAAGCAGCAGCAUCCCUUGUCCCACUCCCAGCUUUCCAUAGGCUCUGCUGCCAAUGUGUGAUUAUCCAUUAGAAUUAUAAAUAGAGAUUAUGUAAUGGAAUUAUAUAACAUUAAUAGGACAAUAUUAACUAUCCCAUGUUACAGUUUAUGGCAAUAUAACAUCACAACAUGGGAAUAUCUUCCAUUUUAUAUACUCUAUGUAAAAUACAGGAAUAUAUAUUACAUUUUCUGUUUUAUCCACUGCAGGUGAUACAAUUGAAAUGCACGUGGUGUAAUUAAUUAGA